GAUGAACGCUGGCGGCGUGCUUAACACAUGCAAGUCGAACGAUUAACCCAUCUUCGGAUGGUUAUAGAGUGGCGAACGGGUGAGUAACACGUGAUCAACCUACCUUUCACAUUGGGAUAACUAUUGGAAACGAUAGCUAAUACCAAAUACUCCUGGGGUUCCGCAUGGCGCCCUAGGGAAAGCUCCGGCGGUGAAAGAUGGGAUCGCGGUCCAUUAGGUAGUUGGUGGGGUAACGGCCUACCAAGCCCGCGAUGGAUAGCCGGGUUGAGAGACUGAUCGGCCACAUUGGGACUGAGAUACGGCCCAGACUCC
rnacentral:rRNA from 1 species